rnacentral:rRNA from 1 species
CCUACGGGUGGCUGCAGUGGGGAAUAUUGGACAAUGGGGGGAACCCUGAUCCAGCCAUGCCGCGUGUGUGAAGAAGGCCCUCGGGUUGUAAAGCACUUUCAGUGAGGAAGAACGCCUGGUGGUUAAUACCCAUCAGGAAAGACAUCACUCACAGAAGAAGCACCGGCUAACUCCGUGCCAGCAGCCGCGGUAAUACGGAGGGUGCGAGCGUUAAUCGGAAUUACUGGGCGUAAAGCGCGCGUAGGUGGCUUGAUAAGCCGGUUGUGAAAGCCCCGGGCUCAACCUGGGAACGGCAUCCGGAACUGUCAAGCUAGAGUGCAGGAGAGGAAGGUAGAAUUCCCGGUGUAGCGGUGAAAUGCGUAGAGAUCGGGAGGAAUACCAGUGGCGAAGGCGGCCUUCUGGACUGACACUGACACUGAGGUGCGAAAGCAUGGGUAGCAAACAGGAUUAGAUACCCGUGUAGUC